UUUUGAUUGUUGCUCAGAAAGCCGUGACGUUGAAGCAGGCUUUCGAGCAAUAAUCACAAUC
rnacentral:pre_miRNA from 1 species